CUAGCGGUCGUUAGAAGUGGUUGUGCUGCAUCACAUGUCUUCGCCGGCAAACAUUAUGUAACUCCGAAAGCAAUUUCCGGAAGCAGAGCCUACUGCAGACUUCGUAGGCCUUUAAUACGACUACAACUCAGUGAUGCAUUACGGAACGCACUACUUCAGACGUAAUGAUCCUGCUGCCGGGGCUGAAGCGACGUCCAACUGGCGGGAUGCGCGGCGCGCCCAUGUCAACAGUCAAUCUUCUUAGAU